GGGCCCGUAGCUCAGCCUGGUAGAGCGGCGGGCUCUUAACCCGUAGAGGGGAGUGGAGGGGCUUCGUCCUGGCCCCGCGGAAGUCCCGGGUUCAAAUCCCGGCGGGCCCG
rfam:Aeropyrum pernix K1 DNA, complete genome.